rnacentral:misc_RNA from 1 species
GAGGAGCGUGCUGGUAGGAAAUUGGGUGGUCUUAAGGUCCUCAACUCUUACUGGAUCAAUGAGGAUUCAACAUAUAAAUACUUUGAAGUGAUCCUGAUUGAUUCAGCCCAUGCUGCUAUAAGGAAUGACCCAAGAAUCAACUGGAUCUGCAACCCAGUGCACAAGCAUAGAGAGCUUCGUGGACUGACUUCAGCUGGAAAGAAAUACAGGGGUCUCCGAGGAAGAGGACACUUGCACCACAAGGCAAGACCCUCAAGAAGGGCAACCUGGAAGAGG